AUGGAUGCUGAACUAGCAAGGGGAACUGAGAGGGGACCUUCUCCACACAGGAAGAAGGAGAAGCAAGGCAGGCUUAUGAGAGGAUUCCACCAUCUUGUCAGGACCUGUUCCUCACAGAAGAUCUACCCAAUUUUUGAGAAGCCUUCCUCCAUGUUUUCUUUUUUUUUUUCAUUUUUUUAAAACUUACCUUCCAUUUUUUAUUGAUUCCAAUGCACAAAAGUGGGCUGGCCCUGCCUUAUGGAAUGCUUCAUGGAUAUUUAGAUUUCUCUGAGUGGUCUUGAAGAUUUAUAAGCUCUUAUAGCCAUUUAAGUGGGUAUUACUGCCUUUCUGAAAGAGCUUGAUAUAGUUACUGUAAAAUUUCUGCCAGCAUUGCCAGCUGACCCUGUAACUUCUUGGAGACAAAGAGGCUCGGUUUAUGGAAGCUGUGCACCCCAGCUGUUCCCAUUUUCAUGAACGAGCUCAAGGUGCUUGACUAAGAAUCAAUAAAGUUAUAAACUCCAGACUGGAUUUUUGAAAG
rnacentral:lncRNA from 1 species